rnacentral:tRNA from 1 species
UCCCUGGUGGCUCAGAUGGUAAAGAAUCUGCCUGCAAUGCAGGAGACCCAGGUUCCAUCCCUGGGUAAGGAA